AUCAAGCAUUGAAAACAGAAGCAGGUUGGAGAGGGCUAAGUCCUAUCCCUUGGGUAUUUUUGUUUGAUGCUAACAAAGGGCUUUGUUGCGACUCUAAGAUUGCAGCUGCUCUAUGGGCUUAACCUGGGCACACGGAAGGUUUGCCACACACUGCUGCUUACACUGAGGGGUCGAGGGAGAUGGCUUCCUCCGUGGGACCCAGGAUAACGUGGAGGUUGAGAGCUCAGGCUUCCGAGCCAGAGCUCUAAGGAUUUGUGGCCUAUCUGAAGAGAUGCUCAAUGGAAGGAAGAUUUAACGGAAGAGAGAAGACCCUUUCCCAUAUGUGGGCAGCAGCAUCCUGUGGGCUGGGGGCCCAGGUGCCCUAAAUGGAAAAGUAAACAGUGAGCAGUUGUCUUACUCUGCUUCAGACACAGCAGGACAGCCACGUUACCUUUCCCUGGACUCUCUCCCUCAAGCUGCAAGCCAAAAUAAAUUUAAGAAAUUCAAAAUCCUUUCUUUAAGUUGCUUCUUGUAAGUUGUUCUCACGGCAACGAGAAAAUUAACACAAUCAUGUGUUUUUCUGAGAUUUCUGCACUCCCACCGGAUUCUCAGAAGAAGCUGUGACCUACCUAAAGCUCAGUGUCACUCAACGGGAAAUUAAGAGGGUGACAGACUCUGCAUGAAGUGUCAUUUAGGAGUUCAUACCUUAACUGGAAGUUGAACCACAGUGCUACCUGAAGGGAAAAUGCUAUAAGCCCCGAGAAGAGAAGGUUAAUUGCUGCGUGCUGUGAGCUUGGCCUGCUGUCAAAGCAAUAAGGAGGCUUUUGUUAUGUAGCAGGGAAAAGAAGGAAGAGUCCCAGGACAUGGAUAGGAGAGGUAGCUAGGAAAGAGAUCUAGUGGUCUGUCAGUCACUCUAGUGAUUGUGAGAUUUAGUCUGAUUAUGAUUGGAAAAUGUUAGUCACUAAGCAAGAUGGUUCUGUUGCCAGAGGAAGUGUUGAAAGCUCAUGAGGACACCAGGCUGUCUCUGACAAAUGGUAUUUCCUGGUAGAAAAAGAAGACCCUAGGAAUGUUAGAUGUAGUUAAGUCGUCCAUGACUGUUGAAUAAGUACUCUUUGCUCAGUAGUCAGUGGACAUAUUUGAAAAUGAUUAAUAUGGAAUGUACUGUGUUCUUAUUCAAGCUAUCAUGAGGGAUAUUGAUUUAAUUCUUUCUGGAGAAGUUGAAUACAUUUAUUAUACUUUCCAGAGAGUUUCCCUUAGGGAGUUAUUUUAUAAUACAUGACUGUCUUCACUGAGCUGACCUUUGAGGUACACAGGAGUUUGCAUGUUAACUUUCUCCCCCUUUUUCUCUCCCUCGCCCUCUCCCCUUCCCUCUCUCUUUCCUUCUCCCUCUCUUACACACACACACACACACACACACACACACACACACACACACCUGUCUUUGUUGCCAUAAAGGAAACCAAGUAAUAAAUAUUUUCUUAGUAGUGUUAAUAACAAUAAAAUAUAAGAAAUCAAAAUUAAAUUACAUGAGAUCUUUGAUGAGGAGAGGAUGAUGGGAAAGUUUAGCCUCCAGCUUAUACCAUUUGUGUGUGCAUGCGUGUGUGCAUGCGUGUGUGUGUGUGUGUGUGUGUUUUGCAAAGAAACUGAGCUCUUACGUAUGCUAGGAAGCUUCCACUGCUGAGUUGAGCUACAAUUUCAGCCCAAUGCUCAAGUGAUUAUUAUUAUUAUUAUUAUUGUUAUUAUUAUUAUAUAUGUAUAUUAUAUUUGUAUAAAAACAAUUUUAUACAAAUAUAUGUUAUAUUUGUAUAAAAGAAAUAAAAGGACUUAAUCUUUCAAUUAUUGAAUAAGCAGGUACUUAUUUAGGGCUACUAUAUGCAAUAAACACUUCCAAGUGGUAUAGGAAGUCUGUAAACUUUGGACUUCAUUUAUUUUUUUAUUCAUUCACUUCAACCAUCAUUCAUUAAACAUAUGUAUAUGAAGUACUAUAUUUAGACAAAGAGUAAAGCAAAGAGAAAAAUAAUUUAUAGUCCAGUAAGAAUUAAAUAAAGCAAUAGCAGAUUUUCUAGUUCUAAAUAAACAGAUUUGAAUAUUUCUUUUUUUCAUUUUUAAAAGUCAAGUGCUCAUGUCUCCUAGGCUGAUUUCAAAGUUAUUGUGUAGCUCAGGAUGACCUUGAACUCAUGAUUCACCAGUCUCUACCCUCUGAAUGCUGGGAUUACACAAAAGAACCACCAUGCCCAGUUCUGUAUGGUGCUUAGGACUGAACACAGGACCUCCUGUGUGCAAGGCAAACACCUUACAAACUGAGCUACAUGCUCAGCUCAAGAUCAGCAUAUUUUGUCACAUGAUCAUUGUUGGUUUUUUAAUCUCUAGCCUAUGUUGGGGUUUACUCUCCUCUACUGCCUUUGGCUUUGCUUGUACUCAAUAAGACUGAGACAAUAGAUGGAUGCAUUGGUUAAUAAUUAAAUGGACAGAUGUCUGAUUCUCAAUGAUAAUUUAGAUGACUGUUUUUGGUGUCUCCUUGGGAAGUGCUAUAGUUUGCUCCAGUGGCCUGCCUUCCAUAACCGCUGUGGCUAUUGCUAUGCCUGCAUGUGUUGUCUACUUCAUGGGGGGAAUUCCUAUUUUCUGUUAAGAGGGGAAGGUUGAGAGCCACUGUUUUAAAUACAUCUGUUGCAAAUGGAUGGCACUGUCCAGUUUUUCUCACGAGGCCACUCCAGCCUGGCAGAUAUGGCUGGAUGACCUGAUCGGCUGAGGACUCUGAGGCUGUUUCUAGUCUUAAAUGACACAGGAGCCUUCAGACUGAAGACCCAAUGACCCAGGGUGAGUAGCCAUGCAGAAAUAUGAUUUGACAGAAGAGGAUGGAACAGAGGAAAAUCCAGAGGGGGCCUGGCUGUUCAGUUUUCUUUGCUUUUCAAGAUACAGCAUUUCUUUCUGCAUAUUUUUUUCCUAGAAUGGAGGGCUGAUAAACCACUAUUGAUCAAGGGUCGUUUUUACAGCCAACUCUUCCACAGAAGUAAUAGCUUUAGUUUUUAUAUAUGGCUUUGGGGAAAGUAGGUUUUGGUUUCUUGGUUCUAAUUUAGAGCAUAAUUCUUUGAGCCUUUCUAACUUGCCACGGGAGAGCUUAAGGGGUGAGAGACAGAAGGGCUAGAGGAAUCCAGGGAGAAUCUUUACUUCUAGGCUGCUUCAUGAGGCUUUGGUAUCAUUUUCUGGACCCUGUCAGUCUCGUUUCAGCAUUUCGAUGCUGGUCAGUUAACUUUAAUUUUGCUUCCACAAUUUAAAAGCAUCCACUCUACAUGAAAGCCCAAUUUAGACAAACUUCUCAUCCUGUGAACACCUUGUGAUAUUAAGAUGACAAUGGGGACAUAAUAACCAGACGUUUUUGAAAAUACAGAAUGCCCGUAGUACUGAUGCCACUUGCUCCUGCAGUUCGUUAUCAGGUGCCUGUUGUCAUUUGUUAAGUCACCUCCAAGACUUGGGAGGAUUAAAACAAUGGACGUUUUGUUCCUCUUGGUAUCAGUAUUGUGAUACGGGCAAGGCUCAGCCAAAGACAUCCGAUGGUCCGGCUGGGGUCACUGGUGUGGAUCUAUUUGAGUCUGUCUCUUCCUGUAGGUUCAGAAUUCCCUCUCCAUGCGUCCCAUAUUCUUCCCAAACUGUCCCUCUAAGUUGGAGGAGCUUCUCCGUGGGAUCUUUCCAGGCUCUCAGAAGUCCCAGGGAUUUAGCUGCAGAGUGGAAAUGAUCACUUCCAUCACAUUCUUUACACAGAAGGGAACUAUCUAGCCAGCCUGCUCAAGGUGGAGGAAUUCUACAAGGAUGCAUAGAGGUAAGGUUGCAUCUGGCCGUCAACAUAAUGGCUAAUGGUAACAUAAAUACUGCCCUGCUUAACUUGUAAACAAGAAAGGCUGGCAGAGACCCCAAGAAGAUAGGACACGCUCCUCAGCAAUAAGGGUCCUAAUCCCCAAGGCCAGGAUUCACAGGCUUUGCUUUUCAUGGCCCUAACAGUACAUUCUUCCUGGAAAUCACUUUACCGUGAUUAUCAUCCUUUCCUGGAACAGUCUAGCCCUACUUUCAAUAUUCAGUGAGGUUGCUCCUCCUUACUGUGGGCCUGGGAUCUCCUCCUGCAGGCUACCUUGCCAGGUAACCUCACAAUUAGUGAAGCCUUUGUUCCUGAGCUUCUAGAAUGUACUCUAGAUCUGUCUGUUGUUGCGGUGUAUUUAAAAAAGGCACACGACCUGUUCCCAUGCUCUAGCUGUUUCUCUGUUACUGCUUUCACACACUGUCCUCUUGGUGGGUUGUUACCACGCCUGUCACCAUCGCAUUCCUCAGGCCGCGCUAGCGUGGCCCCAUGCCACGAUAGCCCCGAACAUUCUAUAGCCUAGCAUGGCUUCCUGUCAUGGACUCUGCUCACACUCCCAACAACCCAGUUAAGUCAUGCCUCAACAAAUGGGAACCCAACAACCAGAUUUAUACGUUAAAUGCUCAAUGUACAAUACAUCCACACAAUUAACUUACAACCAAUUGAUAAGGAUAUAAACCACUCACCUAGAUAAGACAUAAUUUGUUCGUCUAGACAUACAAAAUCCUGUCCACAUCCAUCCCUUAAGAAUAGUCAUAACAACCUGUAAAUGUGCAGAAAGAAAUCUUAACAUCCACCUCCAUGUUCUCUUGGCUGGCCCGUUCUCCUCUUGCUCCGGUCUCCUCCUCUCUAAGACUUUUCUCCUAUCCAUCUUUCCUUCUCAUCCAAUGACUGGCCUCGUUUUAUCCUGUACCUGCUUUUACUGGCAUAAGGACAUCAACCUAUAGUCUGUUUCUCAGAAAUUAUCAUAUUGUAUUAAAAUAUCUGGGAGUUCGUUUCAUGGAUUUGCUUUUUUUUAGAUAGAUUCUUUACAACCUGAAGGCAAGAGCCAAAUCUGACUUCUGUUUCUCAGAAGUUAUCAUAUUGUAUUAAAAUGUCUGGGAGUUUGUUUUGUGGGUUUGCUUUUCUAGAUAGAUUCUUCACAUCCUGCAGGCAAGAGAUAAAUCUGACUUUUGUGAUCCUGACAUUCUUAGAUACUAAGUAAAAAUAUGUUGAGGUGGAACUAAAAAUAGUAGAAAUGUGUCUUCUAUACUCUGGUAUCACCACGUUAUCAAGAAUAAUGCAAGGAACUUAUUAGUGGUUCAAUAGAUGGUUGUUGAAUGCAGAAAUCUAUUUCUUUUAGUCACUGCAUCUAAGGGUAAACCCUGAUUUUAGUGACCCAGUAAAAUCUUCAGCAAGCUUCAUAACAAUUUCAAUUCCUAGCUGGGAAAGAAGCAAUAUGCCUUAGGCAUAACUUUUCAAGUAAUAUCAAUGUUUAAUGGCAUAAACCUUUCGGGCAGGGGCAUAUAGCUAAAAAUAAAUUUGUAUCCUUUUGAAAGUGCUAGCUAAAAUUGUGUAGGCAUGUACUCCUGCUACUAACACAAAACUAUUCUCUUGCCUCUGCAAAACGAAACGAGACCUACAAGAAACCAAACUGUUUUUCUGAGCUUGACAAACAUGCCUGCAACUGAAACAAGAGAUGGCUUCAAACAAUGGGUCUCCAAGGCCAAGGUCAAGAGUGACUUGGAGGUGAGUGAAUUCUAGUGACCGCUCUGAAAACACACUUCCUUCUCAUAGAUCAGGUUUUCUGUUUUAUGCUUGAUGGAAACUGAUUCAUAUCAUCUCUCACUCAGAAACCCAAAACAAGCCAUGGACUAUCAUUCAAACACACGUGUGUAUUUUGUGAGGUCUUUUCCUUUUACAUGUUUUAUGGGGAGCUGUGGGUCUGCCUUUAACAACAUUCUCCCUAAAACUUGAAAUCAAGAUGCUGCACGGUGAUAUUUCAAGCAGUUCAGUAGGAUGUACUAAGGCAACCGAACAUCAUAAAUGUCUCCUGCAGGUACCAUUUUAUUCCAGAUUUAGAAAGCUCUUCUUUUUUUUUUUUUAAAAAAAAGAUUUUAUUUAUUAUUAUGUAUAAGUACACUGUAGCUGUCUUCAGACACACCAGAGAAGGGCACCAGAUCUCAUUACAGAUGGUUGUGAGCCACCAUGUGGUUGCUGGGAUUUGAACUCAGGACCUCUGGAAGAGCAGUCAGUGCUCUUAACUGCUGAGCCAUCUCUCCGGCCCCUAGGAAGCUCUUCUAAGAAGUUUAUGACAUCUUGUAGAAGAUAGAAGAGUAGGCUCAUAUAUAUGGGUUUGUAACUAUGUGUGUGUGUGAGUGUGAGAGAGGGAGAGGGGUAGGGGAGAGAGAGAGAAGGAGAGGAGGAGGGAGAGAGGGGGAGGUAGAGGGAGAGCUGCCUUUUGGAAAGGAAUAGUCUAAUAAGCAAAGAAACUCCAAAUCCUAGGUUCUGUCCCUUCCCCAGGGUCAUCUGGGUCCCCCAAGACUUUCCAGGACUUGGAUGUAGUUAAUAUGCCUAUAAUUCUAAUUUCCAAAAUAAAAUUGCUCAGACUUUGGAAAUUUAUCCAACAAUAACAAAAUAAAACUAUGAUUACUGAUAGUAUUUAACAUUUAUUACCUGCAGUAUAGUUCAUCAAGUAAAUAUAGCGGGUAAACAUUUUCUUGGAACCCUAUGAAGUAGGUAUUUGCUGUCCUCAUUUUUAAGGUGAAGGUCAGAGAAAGUGUCUUUCUGGGUUCACAUCUCUAGUAAGAUUGUGAGUGGCAAAGCCAUGUCCUAGCCACUCAGAAUAAAAGGUUCAUGUCUACAGCUAUAAUACCCUGCAUGUACUUGAUCUCACCAGGAUAGAAAGUCUGUAUUUUUUCCCAUAAAUAAUUUGUUUAAAAUUCAAUGUCCUCCAUACUAUCCUUCUGUUUUGAGUAUCCUCAAGAAAUGAAGUCUUCUCUCCUGAGCUUCUCAAUCAAUGGUCCUGGGUUACACCUAUAGAAACCGGUAGCACUGGCUUCUGUCCGUAUCCUCAUUAUUUUGGUAUCCAUCCUGUUCUCAACAUAAUCUUUUAUCUUCUUGGGGACAAUACAUUUUUAAAUUCCUUCUGACAUUGAAGGUCUUGACACCCAAUGAGUACUCAGAAACAUCUGACUGAAAUAAGACCCCUUGUAAAUCAAGAUACCCCGAAGGGAGGGAUAUUAACUUAAUAUAGCCUAGGAAGAACCCUAUCAGUUCUGUCUGCUACCUGAUCCAAUGCUUCCUCUUAUGUUGGAAUUUAGGUAUGUGAAGCACAAGUACAAAGUGGAACAGAUAACAUCCAUUGGAGGGCAGGCCAUGCUAAUUUCUGUUGACUGGACCAUUGAAGUGGUAAUGAGGCAGAAUUUCUGCCUUUGGCCAGAACAGACUUGGAGCUCUUUUGUCUUGCCAUUCAUCUUCUCCCUGGGGGAUGAUAGUUCCUUUCUUACCAGGCAAAUCCCAAACUUCUUGGUGAAAUGACAAGAAAUAUUCACUCCAGUGCAUAUCUUCCCAAGAAGACCCAAGGUACUCUCUUUGUGAUUCCCAGUCUGCCAUAAAGUACAGUUCAGAGCACAGUGCUCCAGGGAAAGACAAGCAAACAGAAGGAAAAAAAAAUCCACUCUGCAUAUUGAUUUUGUCUAAUGUGGCAUUUGCACACAUGAGUGACCACAGUUCUUACAGACCGCCGCCAGACUAAUUCAUCCCCAAUACUGCUGGAUCCUGACGUUCCCUUUCCCCUAACCCCAUGCCAGCUUUAUCUCUGGAGACAGCUAGACUUCAAGUUAAAAGUUCACUACUCUCUGGCAAAUUUAAUUUCCAUCGUUCCUAUUUUCUCAGAACAAGAAGUUUUCAACCAACAAUCUCAUUAUUUGUUCAGUACAUUCCCGUGCCUUGGAAAGCAUUGAAUUUUCUUCACCUGUAAAUCAAAAUUUUCCACGAUUCAAGUUCCAAUAGCUGAUUUGCUCCCCACAAUAAACUUAUUCUGACCUUGACUGCCCGCAGACUACUCUAUUCAGAGCUUUAACACUGGUUUACUUGCGGUAUAAAUACAUUUUCUUCCUGAUUAUUUUAUGUCCACCUAAUCUGUAGGACACGGCAUUCAAUAAAUGUUUAUGGAAUGAAUAAUGUUUAUUAGUAAUUAUUAAUUAAUUUUGUUUAGAAAAAACUUUCCUUAAUGGUGUCUUUGGAAACAAAAAAAAAUGUACGUUAAUUCAUGUUUUUGAGGGUCAGAGGCAAUUCGAAGUCUCUGUAGUACCUGCAGGGUCUGUAGCUUCAUGUGUGUACCCUGAGGGUCUCCUGCUAUAGACACCCGACACUGAAUACUGUUAACCACUCUGCUUGCUCAAAGUGGGAUGCUGCUCAACCACUUUCAGUUCAGAAGCCUGGUUCCUGGCAAUAAAAUCAGUGAUGCUUUCUGUCCCAGUUUGCCUAUGAUUGCUGUGAUAACACUUUGAACAAAUCCAACUUGGGGAGGUCAGAGUUCAUUUCAUUUUUUCAGUUUAUGGUCUGUUCUGAAAGGAACUUGGGACAUGAAAGGAAGGAAAGAACCUGAAGGCAGGAACUGGAGGAUGACUGCUUACUGGUUUGUUGCCUAUGGUUUGUCCAAUCUCCUUUCUUAUACAGUUCAGGAACACUUGCCCCAGGGUAGUACCACUUACAGUAAGUUGGCUCCUCCCACAUCAGUCCUUAAGAAAAGACCCUAAAGACUCAUCCACAGGCCUAUGGGAUGGAAGUUUUUUCUCAAUUGAAGUUCCUUCUCAGAUGAGUCUAGCUUGUGACAUGUGGAUAAAACAAAAUACAAACAAUAACCCAAGCAAACCAGGGUACCUUUCAUAUUUAGAGAAAACAGAACAUGCUCAAAGAUUCAGGAAUUUGCUUACAGUUAUAUUUAGAGGGAACAGUAGGCAGGUUAUAUGGCUUGAAAUCUAGGGUCUUCAGAUUUGGUGGUUUUGUUUGCUUGUUUUUCUCUAAUACUUCACAUUUCUCUUUGAACUACAGCUUUGGUAGAAGGUUCUACUAUUUCUUCUCAUUAUCUGAGAUUCACACUCCCCCCUACUGCCAAGUAUCAGAAAUGGCCUGUGAUACCUGCCAGUGACCUGCUUAGUUCUAAUAUGAUCUCGGAGGCUGUAGAUUGAUUUCAGUGCCUUUGAGGCCAACUUCUUCUUUAUAGGGCCCAGAGCUCCUUGAGCUGGAAGCCUGGUAGUUGGCCGUGUGUGUGUGUGUGUGUGUGUGUGUGUGUGUGUGUAUGUAUGUAUGUAUGUAUGUAUGUAUGUAUGUUUCAUUUGUACUACUCUUUCUGCCCACAUUCUACGAUACACUUCUUUCCUUAACAUUGUCUCAGUGGCCUGCAAGCCACAAAUCUGGCCACCUUCACAAAAGAGCAGCACCUAGGAAGAGUAGAGACUUAACUGGUGACUAGCUAAUUGGGACCAUGAGAAAACUGUGCAGAGCCACAUCAAAUGUAGAUUACCUUUAAGGACUCCAAAGAGAAACUUUUCUGGGCUAUGAGGAGAUUCAUGAUGGAUGAGGCAGACGUGAGGCGGGCUCUCUGAAUUAACAAAGUAGACUACUCCAAGUCUCAGACACCUUCUCUGAGUACAGAUGGUACCAAAUCUCCUUUCAUCAAUUCUAAGAUGCAAUCCACUCUCAUUCUAUGAGUUCUGUAUUUGGAAGGUGGCUUAUGACUGGUAGUUGUGCAAAGAUUAUAGCAAAACAGCAGUGAUCAUAGUUAUUAAAGGCUAUGGUGAUUAAUCUCAGCUGUCAACUUGAUGGGAUUUAGAGAGAGAUCCCUGGGCUGGGAUCCUGUACCAUAUAAAAGGAGAAAAUGAGCUGAGUAUAAUGAUUUAUCACUCUGUGCUGUUUCCUGCUAGUACAUGCAGUGGGAUCAGAUGCUUCAAGUCCCUACUGGUUGGCUUCCUCACUGUGGUAUCUUGAACUGUAAGCCAGAAUAAACCCUUUCUCCCUUAAGUUGCUUUUCAUUGUAUAUUUUAUCACAGUACCUGGAGAACAAACCAAGUCACAGAACCAAGUCACAGCCCUUACUCAUGUAUCAAAUAUACCAGGAGCAAAAAUGGUCAACUGGGCAGAAAUGAUGGUGCACAACUACAAAGUCACCCUGGAAGUUCCAGAGUUUUAUCCUUUUAUAAAUUGUUCAGGAAAUGUUUCAGCAGCAGCCCGAGCACUAUGACAAAGUCAAUGCAGGGUAUUCAGGAGACUCAGACGAAAUAACAUUUCAGGAAGUUUUGUGGAGUUCAAAGUCUUAGAUGAGACUAAGGUUUUCUUAAGUACUUGAGAAACAUGGUCUCUGAGGGCUCUGUCGAUCUCAAUUCAGGGAGUAUGGUUUGACACAACAUCCUGUGUCACAGAAGUUUAUAACUGGACUAUUAGACUAGAAUAUCAGGGUACCAUUGGCUGUUUAGGAUAUAUCUCCUGGCUUCUUUUGCAACUUGGUAUGAUUGUAUGACUAAUUUUAGCCAAUAGUUUGUUAGUGGAGUGAAUUAUGAAUUAGUGCAUCAUGGAUUGGGUCUUAAAUAAUCCUCUGAAGCUUAUCUGGUAAAGGCUUGCUCUGCUUGCUCUACUGGAAGGUGGUGGAAGCUUAGUUGGAGGAAGUACAUCUUUAGGAGUGUGUCCGGGAAGGGUAUUUUGGGACCCUGGUUCCUCCCCUUCUCUCCCCUUCUUGACCACCAUGAGGUAAGAAGCUUCCAGCUUUCACAGGAUCCUGAGCUCAGUUCCCGAGCAGUGGAGCGGCCUGAAUGACGAUGGAAACCUCUGACCCUGAGAGCUGAGAGAAACCCGAUCUCUUCACAUUGAUAUCACAGGUAAAUUCUGUCACAGCAGUGAACUGAUGACUCAAACACUGGCCCUGUCCUCACGAUGUCUACUAUCAGGAAUGUUGAUGGGUGGGGAAACUGAAGACAUUUUAUUGCAUCAAAGAUAGAAGCCAUGAUUUAAAGGUAGCAGAAUGACAGAAGUGUCAAGGCGAUCAGUCUUCAGGCCAUCCUUUAAUGAUUGGCUCAGACUCUCACGUGAGCGAGAAGUCAACUCAUUUAGCUAUCUCUUUGGGUCUUUCUACAGCCCAAAUGAGUUUUACUUCCUUGGUUUACUCUAUCUCAUUCUCUCCUGCCCUAAUCAACAUGACUUAACUUCAGAAAUACAUGGGCCACUCUUGUAAGAAAGCUUUCAUGAUCUUCAUUCCUGGGCUUCUACUCUGGGGAGCUGCUGUUUUCUUGCAACCUACUUUCCUUGGGUUGCCAGCUCCUUUGCUUUUUUUUGUUUUUGUUUUUGUUUUUUUCCGCUUUGGUGAAGGAGUCUUGCUUUCAAAUUAUACUUCUAUAUUUAAAAGCCAUUUUCUUUUCCCUUCUCAAAUCCCAUUCCUGUUCAUUUCAAACUUCCUUUUACAAUCUUUAGCUUCCUCAGGUUAAACCAAGUAUGAACCAUAUCUUCUAUUGGCUUUUUUUUUCUCUGUCUAUGUGACUCUUCUUGUUCAUCAUGUGCCAUUAAGAAAGUCACCAGCAGCUUUUCUCACAGCUCCAGAAAACAGGGUCCUGACCUCUUCCUGCUUUUCUCUGAGCUCUUUAGCUGGGGGUGUUUGGUGCAAACUAAUUCUCAUAAAUUAUUAUGCAAGUUUUCCUUUUGUGCACAUUAUCUCCAACAGAGAUAAUGUUAAAACAGCCCUAAAAAGGAGGGGUGCUAUUGUUCUUAUACUGAGGCUCAGGAUGGAUAAGAUGUCUGCUUCAGGAAGACUUACCCAGUUAGGUAUAGAGAUCCUCAAAUAGAAGCUAGUCUGCAUUAGGCAUGAUGGCAGAUGCCUCUUAUCCCAACACUCAGGAUGCUAAGACAUAAGGAUCUAGAAUGACGGGCACCCUGGGCUACACACAAGGAUGCCACGUGUAAAACAAGGGCUGAGGAUAUAGCUUAGUAGUAAAGGGCUUGGUUAGAAGUACAAGGCACAAGGCCAUAGGUUCAAACUAUAGUACCACAAAACAAUAUGAAACCCAAACCCCAGCCUGCAUUUUUCCUACUACAUAUACUCUUUUUCAAGCCAAAAUUAAGACAAAGAUCAAAGCUCCUGGGAAGGAAGAACAAGGACUUAGUUGUUACGUCUCAGAACAGGAGUGGAAGUACUAGGGAAAUAGAGACCCUUUCUGGUUUCCUGGCCUAGUGGAUAGAUUAUCACAAGGAUGAUGAGAACCUUUAGGACCUGCUUGGGCAAAAAAUAAAAAUCUCUCAUCUUUUGCUCAAACCAUAGAAAAUUCUUCUAUUUUUCUGACCUUGACAGAUAUUUCUCCCUAAGCCCUCUGAAUUAUUACGGAAUAAAAUGGCUUAUUUUAAUUUCCCUAGAUGUCUUUAUUGAAUUCUUUCACAGUGUUUUAUGGAAAAUAUCUGAUUACUGAUUCAUAGAAUAGAACAUUAUGAAAUUUUAUGCUAAGUGGCUGCCACAGUGGUAUU